CUACGGGGGGCAGCAGUGGGGAAUAUUGGACAAUGGGCGAAAGCCUGAUCCAGCAAUGCCGCGUGUGUGAAGAAGGCCUGCUGGUUGUAAAGCACUUUCAGUUGAGAAGAUGAUGACGUUACCAACAGAAGAAGCACCGGCUAAAUCCGUGCCAGCAGCCGCGGUAAUACGGAUGGUGCGAGCGUUAAUCGGAAUUACUGGGCGUAAAGCGCGCGUAGGCGGCUAAGUCAGUCAGAAGUGAAAGCCCCGGGCUCAACCUGGGAAUUGCUUUUGAUACUGCUUAGCUAGAGUUUGGUAGAGGAUAGUGGAGUUCCAGGUGUAGCGGUGAAAUGCGUAGAUAUCUGGAGGAACAUCAGUGGCGAAGGCGACUGUCUGGACCAAAACUGACGCUUAGGUGCGAAAGCGUGGGUAGCAAACAGGAUUAGAUACCCCAGUAGUC
rnacentral:rRNA from 1 species